rnacentral:rRNA from 1 species
GACAAACGCUGGCGGCAUGCCUAACACAUGCAAGUCGAACGGACAGAACAGGGAAGCUUUUCGGAGUGGAACUGGAAAGUUAGUGGCGGAUGGGUGAGUAACGCGUGGACAACCUACCUUGUAAAGGGGAAUAACCUCGAGAAAUCGAAGCUAAUACCCCAUAAUAACCUUGCUUCGCAUGAAGUAAGGAGGAAAGGCGGCCUUAGCGCUGUCGAUACAAGAUGGGUCCGCGUCUGAUUAGCUAGUUGGUGAGGUAAAGGCUCACCAAGGCGACGAUCAGUAGCCGGCCUGAGAGGGUGAACGCCCACAUUGGGACUGAGACACGGCCCAAACUCCUACGGGAGGCAGCAGUGGGGAAUCUUCCGCAAUGGGCGAAAGCCUGACGGAGCAAUGCCGCGUGAGUGAAGAAGGCCUUCGGGUUGUAAAACUCUGUCCUUAUCGAAGAGAGAGUGUUGUAGUAACUGACAAUACUAGGACGGUAGAUGAGGAGGAAGCCCCGGCUAACUAUGUG